AUGAUCUCUGAAAGAGACCUGGAAUGGUUAAUGUCUGCUGCUGAGGUUUCCACUACAGAUGCAAGAAAAAGAAGGUCCUCAUGUUUUCUGUCUGUCUGGUUGCGGCAGUCAAGAUUGAAUGUGGGAAUAUAGGA
rnacentral:snoRNA from 1 species